rnacentral:rRNA from 1 species
GAUGAACGCUAGCGGCAGGCUUAACACAUGCAAGUCGAGGGGUAGAGGUUGCUUGCAACUUUGAGACCGGCGCACGGGCGCGUAACGCGUAUGCAAUCUACCUUAUACAGAGGGAUAGCCCAGAGAAAUUUGGAUUAAUACCUCAUAGUAUAAUUGAAUGGCAUCAUUUAAUUAUUAAAGUUCCAACGGUAUAAGAUGAGCAUGCGUCCUAUUAGCUAGAUGGUAAGGUAACGGCUUACCAUGGCAACGAUAGGUAGGGGUCCUGAGAGGGAGAUCCCCCACACUGGUACUGAGACACGGACCAGACUCCUACGGGAGGCAGCAGUGAGGAAUAUUGGACAAUGGGCGCAAGCCUGAUCCAGCCAUGCCGCGUGCAGGAAGAAGCAUCUAUGGUGUGUAAACUGCUUUUGUACGGGAAGAAACACUCCUUCGUGAAGGAGCUUGACGGUACCGUAAGAAUAAGGAUCGGCUAACUCCGUGCCAGCAGCCGCGGUAAUAC